rnacentral:rRNA from 1 species
GUCGAGAAUCUUCCGCAAUGCGCGAAAGUGUGACGGAGCGACACCGCGUGAUGGAUGAAGUCCUUCGGGGCGUAAACAUCUUUUAUAAAGGAGGAAAUUUUUGACGUUACUUUAUGAAUAAGGGGCUCCCAAUCUCGUGCCAGCAGGAGCGGUAAUACGAGAGCCUCAAGCGUUAUCCGGAAUCAUUGGGCGUAAAGGGUGCGUAGGUGGUUUGAUUAGUCUCCCGUUAAAACUUCGAGCUUAACUCGAAAAGAGCGGGGGAAACGGUCAAACUAGAGUAUGUGAGAGGUGUGUGGAACUCAUGGUGUAGGGGUGAAAUCCGUUGAUAUCAUGGGGAACACCAAAAGCGAAGGCAGCACACUGGCACAUCACUGACACUGAGGCACGAAACCUAAGGUAGCGAAUGGGAUUAGAAACCCUAGUAGUCC